UAAGUGAAAAAAAGAAAAAAAAAUAUCAAAAUUUUCCACCGAACGUACCGAACUAAACAACAACAGAAUGGCCCGACGUAGGGCUAGACCUCAUAAACCGUUUUGGCUGGACCAGACACCGGAAACCUCGGAACCGGGAACAUUGCGGGCACGAAAGGGUACGUGCUCCCGGAGGGUGCAUCCCGGAACACAGUCUUGCUUUCAGAGCCGCAGGAAGAAUCUAGAUCCGGUCCUGAACGGAUCUUUUUAUCUGCAUAUUGGUUUCAUGAAAGAUCGAUGGGCGGAAUAGAUUCAUCAGACCUCGAACUCCAAUUCCAUAGGGCCGAAAUUCCGUCAAUCCCGCAGGAACGGUCAUCAAUAGUUCUCUGUGUCAAUAGGUUCUUCCAGAGUUGGCCUUUGCCACCAGCAGCAUCGCCGCUGGAGCUUGAGGCCAAUGGUUGGUAGUGAUACCCCGUUUCAUGAGUGAAUAAAUAAAGAAACAUUGAAAAAAAAGUUGUAU